rnacentral:tRNA from 1 species
AUUUGAAUAGCUUAAAAAAAGUAUUAUAUUGAAGAUAUAAAGAUAAUAGAUUUAUUUUCAAAUA